UCAUAACAAUGACUAAUUUGCUAUAUGAAAUAGAAAUAUGUUUCGCUCUCUUGCAAAAUAAAUUGUAACAUUUCUUUAUUUCAAAAUAUAAGCGUUUAAAUGGAAGAAAGGUUACGUGAAGAGAAAUUCAAAGCUAUGAAACUGCCAGAAUUAAAAAGUUAACUGCAGAGUAGAGGUUUGAUGGGAAUUUUUAAGCUACGGCGAAUUUUACGAAGAAGAUUGAAAACCAAACGUUCACCCUGUUUACCUAGAUAUGGUAUUCUAAUGAAAAUUUUACGAAGUACAAUGUUAAUGGUUUUACGCAAAGGCACGUUGGUGAAAAGGGAUUCAACAUCAAAAGAGACAAACUUAUAACCUUGGGAAAAUAGAUCUUUAGGUAUAGAUUUAAUAGCAUCAGUAGCAUCGAAAGAGUCUUGUAAUGAAAAUUUAUUUAGGGUGAGUGGAUUCAAAAGGUUUGCAAUGAAUUUGCCUACGUUGUAGUGUGAGUAGAGGUAUAACCGUAAGUAGUUAUCUGAAGCCGGGACUAU